AGAGGAAAGGCCAAUAAGGGGCCUGCCAACAGAGUCAGUGCCCUUUUCAGGGAGCAUUCCCAGAAGUCUCAUACUAUAGUUAUUCUUUCAUUCAAUUGGCCAGAAGUUACUCUCAUGGGCACUCUUCUCUGGAGGGGAGCCUGGGAAAUCUAAUUUUUCAGUUGGCACAUUGCUACCUCCAACAAAAUCAGGGCCCUGUGUAAGUAAGAAGAGAAGAAUAAAUUUUGGGUAGGCAACCAGAAUGUCUGCCACAACCCCCAACUCAGGUCUGGACCUAUCUUUGCAUCCCAAUGACUCAUUAUUCUAUUAAACCUAAGAGGCCAUCACAGGGCUGAAGGGAGGGAGCUGGAGUAAAAGAAAUGGCUGAAUCUUUCAUCUGCUGUCUUCACUGACAGUCUCUGAAAGUGGAUGGCAACAAAGAGAUUUAUUUGCCCACUGAUACGAAAUCUACCACCCUCCUUAGAAGGCAGAAGCGGUUACAGUUGCCUUUUAUUUUCCUAUUGCUACACCCAAGGAUUGUUGUGAGAAUGCAAAGACAGAUAUGAGACAGCAUGUUAUAAACUAUAAAACACUACUCAGCAACAGAAAUGAUCGUUUAUCGUUAUUAUAAGUGUUGUCACGUCUUCUAAAGCCGUGCGCUCAGCUGAAGAAAAGGAUUUUCUGAGAGAGAGCAAGAGAGCCAAAGAGAAAAGGAGAGAAAGAGUGAGGGGGAGGGGUAAGGGAGAAGGGAAAUGGGGAGAGAGAAGAGUGGAGGCCCCUUUUCUAUCAAAGGCAGAACAAAAAUAUAUUGACAUAAUUGAAUCCUAUGUCUGACCCAAACACAUAUACAACUACCUGGGAGACAGCAUCAAAGUUCUUUGCUCAGGGCUCUCUGAUUAUUUAAAAAAUAUCUCCCUCAUUUUUAAGCAAUAUAUGUAUAUUGAAGACUAUUUGAACCAUAUGAAAAGGCACAAGGAAGUUUUUCUUAAAAACCUGCUUUAUUGAUAUAUAAUUGACAUAAACUGUGCACAUUUCAAGUGUGUAAUUUUAUGUAUUUUGACAUAAGUAUACACCCAUGAAUCCAUCACUACCCUCAACAUAAUGAACACAUCCGUCACCCCCAAAAGUUUCCUAUGCUCCCUCUCUCCUGCCCCUUCCUGGCCAACCCCCUUCCUGCCAGGAAUCAACUCCUCUGCUUUCUGCCACUCUAGAUUCCUUUGCAUUUUCUUGAAUUUUAUACAAAUGGAAUAUAAAAUUCCAUAAAAACAUGUACAAUGUAUGUACUCUUUUUUGUUUAGCUUCAUUCACUUGGCAUAAUAAUAUGAAAACAAAAAAAAACAAAAAAAUGCCAACAAACCUCACAACUUACAGAGACAUAUAAUUAAUGACAUAACACAGAUCCACCAGGAUUCAGAACAGUUAAUUAGCCAUAUUCGCUUCAGCUCUCCUCAUUUUUUUAAUGUGAUUUAUACAAGAAAAAAAUUGUAACAAUUUGCAUAAUUCUAUGAAUAAUUAUAAAACAAACCCCUGUGGGCAACAAGUGAACGCUGUAAGCACCCUGUUAUCUUCUGUGUCCCCUCCCUGACACCCAUGUCUUCCCCCCCAAUUCUAGGUCAUCACUAUCCCCACUUUUGGGAGACUCACUUUCUUGCUUGCCUUUCUGGUUUUAUGACCUAGGUAUCCGUCCCAGUAAUGGUAGAGUUGAGCCACCUGUUUGUGAAUUUUAUAUGAAUGAAAUCAUACUGUUUGUCUUCUUCUGUGACUUGUAUUUUUUACCGUUAUGUUUGGGAGAUUAGCCAUGUUGUGUCAUGUGGCUGUGGUUUGUUCAUUUUAAUGGCUGUAUUCAAUUUUAUGAAUAUACUGCAGCGUGGCAUGGCCCACACUAGAAAGAAACCUUUUAAAUGUGAUCAUCACUGUUUGGCCUGUGUUCGCACCCAAGCCUUGUACCCAACAGACAGUCGUCAUAGGAUAGAAACAAGUGAAACACCCCAACUCCUGCUGCCAGUCCCCUGACCGCCACCCUGUGUCCAUAGAAAGUUAAUCCAUUAAUAUUCACAUAUGCAAAUCAUAAAUAUUUACAACAAUAUCUUCUGUCCUGACACAGUAUUCUUUCUGAAGAAGCAAAGCACAAAGCAGCUUCUAAAAAAAAAAUCAUGAACUUUAUGUAAUUUCAUUAGUCAGCCCAGGCUAAUAAAAAAGUACCACAGACUGGGUGGCUUAAACAACAGAAGUGUAUUUUUUCUCAUAGAUCUGGAGGUUGGAAGUCCAGGAUCAAGGAGUCAGUAGGUUUGGUUUCCACUGAAGCCUCUCUCUGGCUUACAAAGGGCUGCCUUCUCCCUGUUUCCUCAUGUUUCUGUCUCCUCUGCCUUCUCACUGUAUUCCCUCUUUCCUUCUGUUUCCUAAUCUCCUCUUUAAAGACCCCAGUCAGAUUAGAUUAGGACCCAUCCCAAUGGCCACAGUUUACCUGUUUCAAGGCCCUGUUUCCAAAUAUGGUCAUGGUCUGAGGUACUAGGGGUUAGGACUUCAAAACAUGAAUUUCAGCCCAUAGCAGUUGCAUUGAUCUUAAUACAGCCCAUAGCAGUUGCACUGAUCUUAAUACACCUAGUUAUAUUCUCCGUGGGAGAAAGAAAAACAAGGAUGAGGUCAGACACUCUCCUUCUACAGCCUGCUCUUCCCUUUUCACUCUUUUCCUCAGGCCUUCAAUCCAGAACAUCCUAGCUCACUGCUCCUAAACGAUGCUCUCACUAUAAAUUGCAUAGAAACAUAAGACAUCAAAACCUAGUUUUAUGUUUCUUUGUGUAUAAGAAAUAGUAAGAGUCACUGAAGUCGGUGCUUGCAGUCUGAGACUUUUCUAAAAAGAGUUCAGUGCAUUAUUCAAGUUGAAAAAAUAAUAAUUUGGACCUUAGCCUGUCUCCAGCAGAUGGAUGACGCUGCCCGUCCCCUGCCCUUUCUUAAGAAGUUCCCUUUAUUCUGUGAUACCCUAAAGUGUCUGCUGGCAUGGUGGUUUACAAGCACCUUCUCACGUGGUGAAUAAUUAGGUCCUAAUCACCACCCAGUGAAGUAGAGAAAUAAUUUGAAUCCCUGUUGUACAGAUGAGAUAACUGGAGCAUAAAGAAUGUGGGAUUUUCAAGGUCACACAGCAAGAAAGGCACAAAGCCAGCUUCCAUUUCUCAGUCUAGGUAAUAUGAAUUCCACAGUUCCAUGUUGCCUUCUCUCCCCAAAGUGGCGGUCCAUCCACCAAGUUUUUGUUUCAACUGAGGUGCAGUGGUGCUAGUCAUUGGGAGGGGGAACAACUGAAAACACUAUGAUGACUCAGGGCAGUCAGUAAGAAAAUGGACUUUCUCGGUGAGGCAGAGAUGGGGAAGUAGUCAUCUCUUUCUUCUGAUAGCAGGGCGUACGUUUUGUUUUUCAAUCGGCAUGCUCACUGGAUCCUUCUUAUUACCCUUUGCCUUUCAUGCUUUUAAAGCUUACCCACAAGCAUUUUUUUCAUUCCAUCUGUAUUUAGUAGUUGUUGUUCUACUACAAAGAAGACUUUCCUCUCUUCUCCAUCUAUUUGUGUACUCAUUUAUUAAUUUAUAUCACUAUAGUCUCACGGUUUCUUAUUUUAUUCAGUGAGUUUUUGUUUUAUUCCACGGGUUUCGAUGACCAGACUGUGCUUGUUCAGUGGGAACCCCUUCAUUCUGGCUCCUGGGUCCUCUUGACAUGUUCCCAUAAGUCCAUGAGCCUAUCCUUACUUGGCACAAAAAGGUGUUCCACAUUCUUCUCAUAUUUUCACUGCCCCAGCCUUAAACUCACUGUAUUUUGAGAACUGGUGGAUACCACCCAGUGUUAAAAGUAGAAGUCUUGAACCACUGUAGGAGCCAGAGGAGACAGUGAUUUCUCCUCAAAUUAUGACCCUUCUUGACCUUCAGAUGAAAGGAUUAAGAGGAUGAUUGCCCCCAUGUGCUUGUAAUUCAUCCCAAGGAUAAACAAAUCUACUGUCUUAAGUUUCUCAUGAUUUCCAUUUCAUGGAAGAGAAUUUCAAACUAAGCCUCAGAGACACUAGGCGGGAAAUGGGAAUUCAAAUCUGUGGGAUAGGGUAACGGGAGAUCAAUACGGAACGGACUGCCGCCCUUACUAACAGUGACCCUGACCCACACAAGCCUGUGUGUGGGAGGAGCUUGGGCUCCUCCCAAGGAGCCUGCAGAGCCGGCGGCGAGCAGGAAGCCUCAGAGUACAGAGGACCAUGUCACUCUUAACUCCCAGAUGGUGAGAGGUAAGCCUCUGUCCUGGGGACACCGGAGUGGGCGGGGUGUCCUUUCUACACUCACAGGUGCAGCCAGAGCUGACUCUAAGAUAAGACAGGUUUGAUCAUGGCUCGUUUUCCUUUCCAUUAAAAAUAAUUUCAAUUAGGAAAGACUUUAAGUUUACAGAAAGUUACAGAUAAAAAUGUCAUAAGCACCAAUGUACCCAUCACCAGACGGAGGAAAUGUUAACAUUAGCCUUAGAUCCUUUUAGAAAGAAAAUAAAGCUACAGAUAAAAUUGAAACCCAAUUGCCCUCCCUCUCUCUCCAGAGAUAACUCUCAAGUUAGUACGCAGCUUCUCGGUGCUCAAUUAUUACUUUGUUUUCACGUGGGUAAACACCAAUAUAUAGUAUUGCCUUGUGUACUUAAAACAUUUCAUAAGCAGUAUUGUUACCCACGCUAUGCAGCCAAGGCUCCAGGCGCGGAGACUGUUUUCUUUUUUUCAAUCAUACAGGUUAGUUGUUUUUUUAUCAACAGGAAGCCACGAAGGCCAGAAACAAAACCAGACUGAACCAGCUAGGUCCAAGAUGGCGGGCAAAGUAGGCUAAAGUACCUGGUGUUUGGCAGAGAUGCUUUGCGGGCUGUACUUUGAGAGAUACACAGUGGUCAACCAUCCCAAACCAGCUCUGACGACCACGGGAACACGCCUGCGCAGAUGAAACCAGGGGGCUGUCCCAGCAUUACCUUCGCUUCAUUACCUUGCUAACAUCUCAGCCCAAAGCGGGGAUUUGUGCUCUGCUAGGCACAAUUUGUUCCACGUGCAAAGGAGCGUGGCAGACUGCGCAUGACCUGGCUGCCCCUGGAAAUCUCCGCCCCUUUCCUAGAGCCCUGAUGACCUUCUCCCUCCUAACCCUAAAAUUCCCUUACUCCCCUCUUUGGGGAGAAGGUGCUUCUAGAGUUUGAGCUUCCCUUCUCCAUUCUCUGGCCUUUGGGUAAAAGCCUGUUUUGCUUGCACCAAACUCAAUUUCAUUAUUGGGAGCUCGAAACUGAGUGGGAAAGAACUCCCUGUCUGAUAGGGGUUGGGGGAAGGGAGAGCUUAGGUUCAGCUAGGGCACCAAGAGUGGGGGGUCUUACGUCUAAUUCAGUAACAUUACCAUACUGCUUGUAUCCGUUUUCAACUGGCUUUUUUUUUUUUUCGGUACGUGGGCUUCUCACUGUUGUGGCCUCUCCCGUUGCGGAGCACAGGCUCCACACACGCAGGCUCAGCGGCCAUGGCUCACGGGCCUAGCCGCUCCGCGGCAUGUGGGAUCUUCCCGGACCGGGACACGAACCCGUGUCCCCUGUAUCGGCGGGCGGACUCUCAACCACUGCGCCACCAGGGAAGUCCUCAACUGGCUUUUGAUUUUCACCUAACAGUGAGAUUUAUUGAUAUUAAUAAUGUAGAUCUAGUUCAUUCAUUUUAUCUGAUAGUAUUUUGUUGUAUGACAUUUUUAUAAUGAUAUAUGAUAUUACUCUUAAUAGUCCUAAUGCUUUGUAUAUUGGAUUUUCUUUGAAGAUAAUAAACUCACCUGGAAUAAUGA